AUGGAAAUUGUCCAUACAUACGGGAAGCCUGACAUCUUCCUGACCAUGACUUGCAAUCCUAAAUGGGAAGAGAUAACGAAUGAGUUGCUGCCUGGUCAGACGGCGCAAGACUGACCUGAUAUUGUGGCUCGUGUGUUCUACGGCAAACUAGAGGCUAUGAAAGACAUGUUGUUCAAGAAGCAGAUCCUGGGUGUUGUUGUCGCUUAUGUAUACGUAGUCGAGUUCCAAAAAAGGGGCCUC
rnacentral:rRNA from 1 species